CCUACGGGUGGCAGCAGUGAGGAAUAUUGGUCAAUGGGCGUAAUCCUGAACCAGCCAUGCCGCGUGCAGGACGACGGCUCUACGAGUUGUAAACUGCUUUUGUACCGGGGUAAAGUGCUCUACGAGUAGGGUUUUGUAUGUACGUUAUGAAUAAGGAUCGGCUAACUCCGUGCCAGCAGCCGCGGUAAUACGGAGGAUCCGAGCGUUAUCCGGAUUUAUUGGGUUUAAAGGGUGCGUAGGCUGUUUUUUAAGUUAGCGGUGAAAUACUGAGGCUCAACAUCAGGGUUGCCGUUGAGACUGGAGGACUUGAGAACGGAUGAAGCAGGCGGAAUGUGUGGUGUAGCGGUGAAAUGCAUAGAUAUGACGCAGAACACCGAUUGCGAAGGCAGCUUGCUAGGCCGGAUCUGACACUGAUGCACGAAAGCGUGGGGAUCGAACAGGAUUAGAUACCCCUGUAGUC
rnacentral:rRNA from 1 species